GGCUUCCUGGCGCAAUGGUAGCGCGUUUGGCUUCGAUUGCUGAAUGUUUACCAAAAGGUUGCAGGUUCGAGUCCUGCGGUGGUCA
rnacentral:tRNA from 1 species